rnacentral:misc_RNA from 1 species
GGCAGUGGUGGUGGUGACAACAUAGGGUGGAGCAGUGGUGGUGGUGAGUCUGGUGACAACAACAAUAAAGGGUGGAGUAGUGGUGGCAGCCGUGACUGGGGGAAAUCUGGAUCAGAUGGAGGUGGUGGAUUUGGUGGCAGAGGUCGUGGAAGAUGGAGCAGUGAAAGUGGUUCAAAUGAUGGUGACAGUGGGAUUGGGGGGUGGAGUAGUGGUGGUGACCGAGGUGGAUUUAG